rnacentral:rRNA from 1 species
AGUGAACGCUGGCGGUAGGCCUAACACAUGCAAGUCGAACGGCAGCACAGUAAGAGCUUGCUCUUACGGGUGGCGAGUGGCGGACGGGUGAGGAAUACAUCGGAAUCUACUUUUUCGUGGGGGAUAACGUAGGGAAACUUACGCUAAUACCGCAUACGACCUACGGGUGAAAGCAGGGGAUCUUCGGACCUUGCGCGAUUGAAUGAGCCGAUGUCGGAUUAGCUAGUUGGCGGGGUAAAGGCCCACCAAGGCGACGAUCCGCAGCUGGUCUGAGAGGAUGAUCAGCCACACUGGAACUGAGACACGGUCCAGACUCCUACGGGAGGCAGCAGUGGGGAAUAUUGGACAAUGGGCGCAAGCCUGAUCCAGCCAUACCGCGUGGGUGAAGAAGGCCUUCGGGUUGUAAAGCCCUUUUGUUGGGAAAGAAAGGCAGCAGGUUAAUACCCCGCUGUUCUGACGGUACCCAAAGAAUAAGCACCGGCUAACUUCGUG